AAGAUCAGGAUAUAUUUAUAUAGAUAAGAAAUUGGGCUGCAUGACAUUGUUACUCAAAAAAGAUCAGAAUCUAUUUAUAUAGAUAUGAAAUUGGGCUUCAUGACAUUGUUACUCAAAAAAGAUCAGGAUAUAUUUAUAUAGAUAUGAAAUUGGGCUGCAUGACAU